UACGAAGGGGGCUAGCGUUGCUCGGAAUUACUGGGCGUAAAGCGUGCGCAGGCGGUUUUGUAAGUCAGAUGUGAAAUCCCCCGGGCUCAACCUGGGAACUGCGUUUGAAACUACAAGGCUAGAGUGUAGCAGAGGGGGGUAGAAUUCCACGUGUAGCAGUGAAAUGCGUAGAGAUGUGGAGGAAUACCAAUGGCGAAGGCAGCCCCCCUGGGUUAACACUGACGCUCAUGCACGAAAGCGUGGGGAGCAAACAGG
rnacentral:rRNA from 1 species